CAAUUUUCUUCAUUCUUUUCCUCUCCUCUCCUCUCCAAAUCCGCCGCCCAGAUCCUCUCCGAAUCCGCCGCCCAGAUCCCUUUUACCCUCCUCUCCGUUUUUCUUUCCGGCCAGUGCAGCCCAGAGAACGAGCAGCAAACAACACCAUCCAACAAUAGUCAUGAAAUCAGCAGCCAGACAGAAAUGGCGAGCUCCAACAGGCGCGUGGAGACCACCAGCGAGCCUCCAUCUAUGGCAGCAACUUCAAUGGGCGAGCAACCAAGCGACCACGCGGUACUCGUCCGCAACAUUUGCAGUCUGCUGAGACUCUCAGCUACAACAUUGAUGCAGAACUAUGUGGGAGCUCAAUAGCUUUGUCACAAUUACAACCAGAACAAGAGUAAAGCUACAGUGAGUUUUUCUUUCAGCUUUUUUAGUUAUCUAGUGUGGAUUGAAGAUAACCGUUUCUUAGUUUUCACACUUCAUUUUGUAAAGUUCGAUUUCAAAGAUUGUUGUUGCAUUGAAAAAAGCAUUUCGCCUUAGUUAUCUUGUGUGUCUCUUUGCUUUAUGAAUAAUUGAAGUGUGUACAAGUAGUCAUGUUUAAGAUGGGGCGCAUAAUGCAAACAUGAUCAUCCUCUAGUGGUAAUAAAUUAUAAAGAUUCAUUCAAUUAGGGUUCAUUCAUCAUUAAGUUGCUAAUAAUCUCCGUCCACGAAUGAAUUAUUUGAUUAUUUAUAUUUGUAGAUUCUGAUAUUGAUAGUUUCUCUUGAUGUGAAAAAUUUGACGUAAGUGGAUGCGCAUUAGCUAAUAUUACUUUCUUUAUAUGUAGUUAUGAAUAUAGAGAUAUGAUAACUUGUUGAAUUUAGUGAUUAUUUGUUAAUUAUAGUGAACUCAAUCUGUUAAUUUCAAUUUUGACAUAUACGAAAAGUCAAGGACUUGAUCGGGCCAUUUUCCGCAUUAUUUUCGUUACACGUAUGGUUGUCUCUAACAUUCAGUUCCACCAUUAGUCUCUCAAGUGUUCUUUACUUGCUUAAUUUGUAGGAAAUACAUUUCAGAACUAAUGUUCAGACUCCUAGUAUCAUCUAAGUAACAAACUUCAUGACAUCCAAAAUGUAUUUCCUACAAAUAAAGCAAGUAAAGAACACUUGAGAGACAGGUGGAGGAACUGAAUGUUAAAUAUAGUCACUUGUAUAAUGAAAAUAUUUCUGGAAAUGGUCUAAUCAAUUCCUUGGUUUUUCGUAUAUGUUAAAAUUAGAAAUAACAUAUCGAGUUCACUGUAAUUAACAAAUAUUCACUAAAAUAAACAAGUUAUCAGAUCACUAUAUUCAUAACUAAUUAUAUAUAAAGAAAUUAUUAUUAGCUAAUGUGCAUUCAUUUAUGUCAAAUAUCCUCACAUCCAGAAGAACUGUAGCUAUCAGAAUCUGCAAACAUAAAUAAUCAAAUAAUUCAUUCGUGGAGGGAGAGUAUUAGCAACAGAAUGAUGAAUUAACCCUAAUUGAAUGAAUCGCUAUAAUUUAUUACCAUUAGAGGAUAAUCCUGCUUGCAUUAUGUACCUCUCUCCCACCUUAAACAUGACUACUAAUACGCAUUUCACCUAUACAUAAAGCAAAGAGACACACGAGAUAAUAUAUUACAUUAUGUAUAACUAAUUAAGACGAAUGACUUCUUUCAAUGCAAUAACAAUCUUUGAACCCGAACUCUACAAAAUGAAGUGUGAAAACUAAGAAAUGCUCAUCUCCGAUCCGCACUAGAUAACUAAAAAAGUUGAAAGAAACUCACUGUAGCAUUACUCUUACUCUUGUUGUAACUUGUGACAAAGCUAUUGAGCUCCCACAUAGUUUCUGCAACAAUGCUGCAGAUGCUAUGUAGAAAUUUCACAUCAAGAAUCAGUCUAUGGACAGAGACUGCCUAGUCGAUUGGUUGCUCAUCAAUGGAGUUGCUAAUAUCGAUGGAGGUUCGCUGGUGGUUUUCGCGCACCUGCAUGAGCUCAUGAAUCGUGCUUCGUCGCUAAAAAAGUUAUUACUACCGACAAAAUUUUAUUGUUGGCUAGGAGCUCGCAUAUUACGUUGUCUUGGGGAAUCGAACUCACAACCUUAAGGUUGAAAGAGAAGAGUGCUUAUCAUUAGAUCAACACUCUCUUGUCUUCAUUUUUGUUUCAUUUUGUACUUCAUUCACUUUCUUCAAAUUUAACUUUGUAGAAACAAUAUAUUAUGUGAUUACUUCUACUCAUACACAAAUGCAUGAAACUAACCACCCACAAUUCAUUCAAAUGUAGAUUAUAUUGUAAUAAACUGUGUAUUUUUUAAAUAUCUUUAAA